rnacentral:rRNA from 1 species
UACAGAGGGUGCGAGCGUUAAUCGGAGUUACUGGGCGUAAAGGGCGCGUAGGCGGUUAUAUAAGUGAGAUGUAAAUCCCUGGGCUUAACCUAGGAACUGCAUCUCAUACUGUAUGACUGGAGUAUUGUAGAGGGUAGUGGAAUUUCCGGUGUAGCGGUGAAAUGCGUAGAGAUCGGAAGGAACACCAGUGGCGAAGGCGGCUACCUGGACAAAUACUGACGCUGAGGCGCGAGAGCGUGGGGAGCAAACAGG